rnacentral:tRNA from 1 species
GCCCCCGUGGCGGAAUUGGCAUACGCGGCAGUUUGAGGGGCUGUGUCCUUACGGACGUGGAGGUUCAAGUCCUCUCGGGGGCA